GAUGAACGCUAGCGGCAGGCCUAAUACAUGCAAGUCGAGGGGCAGCGCGGUAGCAAUACUGGCGGCGACCGGCGCACGGGUGCGUAACACGUAUGCAACCUACCUUCAACUGGAGGAUAGCCCGGGGAAACUCGGAUUAAUACUCCAUAACACAGGGAUCCCGCAUGGGAAUAUUGUUAAAGCUACGGCGGUUGAAGAUGGGCAUGCGUUCGAUUAGCUAGUUGGUGUAGGUAACGGCUCACCAAGGCUACGAUCGAUAGGGGGUCUGAGAGGAUGAUCCCCCAACUGGUACUGAGAUACGGACCAGACUCCUACGGGAGCAGCAGUAGGGAAUA
rnacentral:rRNA from 1 species